rnacentral:rRNA from 1 species
AUUGAACGCUGGCGGCAUGCUUUACACAUGCAAGUCGAACGGCAGCAUGACCAAGCUUGCUUGGUUGAUGGCGAGUGGCGAACGGGUGAGUAAUACAUCGGAACGUGCCCUGUAGUGGGGGAUAACCUACCGAAAGGUAGGCUAAUACCGCAUACGACCUGAGGGUAAAAGUGGGGGACCGCAAGGCCUCACGCUAUAGGAGCGGCCGAUGGAAGAUUAGCUAGUUGGUGAGGUAAAGGCUCACCAAGGCGACGAUCUUUAGCGGGUCUGAGAGGACGAUCCGCCACACUGGGACUGAGACACGGCCCAGACUCCUACGGGAGGCAGCAGUGGGGAAUUUUGGACAAUGGGGGCAACCCUGAUCCAGCAAUGCCGCGUGAGUGAAGAAGGCCUUCGGGUUGUAAAGCUCUUUUGUUUGGGAAGAAAAGUCUGGUGCUAUUACCACUGGAUGCUGACGGUACCAAAAGAAUAGCACCGGCUAACUACGUGCCAGCCGCCGCAGUAA